rnacentral:rRNA from 1 species
CCUAACACAUGCAAGUCGAACGGUCCCUUCGGGGACAGUGGCGAACGGCGGAGUAAUACAUAUGCAACGUGCCCCAAAGACUGGGAUAGUCGCGGGAAACUGCGGGUAAUACCGGAUGUGGCCCCUUGAAGGCAUCUUUAAGGGAUUAAAUGGUUUUUCGCUUUGGGAGCGGCAUAUGGCCUAUCAGGUUGUUGGUGGGGUAACGGCCUACCAAGCCGACGACGGGUAGCGGGUCUGAGAGGACGAUCCGCCCGAGUGGGACUGAGACACGGCCCACACACCUACGGGUGGCAGCAGUUGGGAAUCUUGCACAAUGGGGGAAACCCUGAUGCAGCGACGCCGCGUGGAGGAUGAAGGAUCUAGGUCUGUAAACUCCUUUUUCAGGGAAAGACUUAGGACGGUACCCUGAGAAUAAGCCCCGGCUAACUACGUGCCAGCAGCCGCGGUGAGACGUAGGGGGCGAGCGUUGUCCUGAUUUACUGGGCGUAAAGGGCGCGUAGGCGGCUCGUUAAGUGUGAAGUGAAAUCUCCAGUGCUCAACACGGAAAUUGCUUCGCAUACUGGCGAGCUAGAGGAAUGCAGAGGGUUAGUGGAAUUCCUGGUGUAGCGGUGAAAUGCGUUGAUAUCAGGGGGAACACCCAUGGGCGAGGCAGCUAACUGGGCAUCACCUGACGCUGAGGCGCGAAAGCGUGGGGGAGCAAACAGGAUUAGAUACCCUGGUAGUCCACGCCCUAAACGAUGGAUACUAGGCGUAAGAGGUAUCUAUCCCUCUUGUGCCGCAGCUAACGCAAUAAGUAUCCCGCCUGAGUAGUACGGCCGCAAGGUUGAAACUCAAAUGAAUUGACGGGACCCCGCACAAGCGGUGGAGCAUGUGGAUUAAUUCGAUACUAACCGAAGAACCUUACCCAGGCUUGACAUCGAUGGCAAUCCCGUGAAAGCGGGACCUCUCCCACAAGGAGACCUGAAGACACUUGUUGCAUGGCUGUCGUCAGCUCGUGCCGUGAGGUGUACGGUUAAGUCCGCCAACGAGCGCAACCCUCGACCUAUGUUGCCAGCAUGAAAGAUGGGAACUCAUAGGUGACUGCCCGUGUAAGCGGGAGGAAGGUGAGGAUGAUGUCAAGUCAGCAUGGCAGUUACGCCUGGGGCUUCACACAUGCUACAAUGGGCGAAACAAACGGCAGCAAUACCGCGAGGUGGAGCAAAUCCGAAAAACACGCCCUCAGUUCAGAUUGUAGUCUGCAACUCGACUACAUGAAGACGGAAUCGCUAGUAAACGCAGGUCAGCUAUACUGCGUUGAAUACGUUCCCGGGGUUUG